CCAGCAUAUUAUUAAAUGAACAAAUGAAGAGACAGAACACAAUACAUGGUGAAGAGGAUGGUCCCUCUGUCCCAUAAAGUCAAGUGCCGCAGAGAACACUGGGAGGCGGUUCCUGUGAGGACGCUCCUCUCGCGAUAAAAUGAUCAGUCCAGAGGUUGUAUCUCACUGGCUGAACAUAGGUCAUGUGCCCAUCUCAGCCAAUCACUGUUGCCAGGGGGUAUGCGGAUCGGUCACGUGUCUACCUGAGUCGACGCUACCCAAGCCCGGCGACCCGGAGCCACACAGGUGUGGUCCCCUCAAAGGAAAGUUGGAGCGCUGGUACCAGAAGCAGGACAACACUUGCUGGAGGGCGAAAACCACGACAGUUGCCCACCACGGACAGCCUCCUACGUCCAAGGCACCGUGCACACUGCUGGGGAUACAGUGCUGACCAAGACGAUGAGAAAAACUGGGGCUCCGAGAGGGAAGGUGACCUGCUCUUGGUUAUGUGACAGGAAUGGUUAUCAUGAAGAUAGAAGUAAGUUAAACUACAAUAGACAACAUCAAGUGCUGGUGAAAAUGUAGAGCAACUGGAACUCUCAUACAUUUGGUGGAAAUGCAAAAUGGUACAGCUUGUUGGAAAAUAGUUUGGCAGGGUUUUUUUAGUGAAGUUAAACAUACCAUUAUGAUAUAAUCCAAAAAAAUCCCACUUUUAGAAAUUCACUCAAAUAAAAUAAAAACUUUUGAUCACA